UAUCCAGCACUUUAAAACCACUCUGGAUUUGAAGAAGAGGGAUUUCCAGCAGGAGUUGGAGGAGACUCAGAGAGUUGGCUCAGAGCAACGUAAGGAGCUACAGGAUCAAAUCAAAAUGUUGCACUCUCAGAAAGCAGAGCUGGAGAAAGACUUGUCUUCAGCCCAGCAUGAGAGACAGGAGGCCCAGCACAGAGCAGAGAGACUUCAGACCUCCCUCAACCAGCUCACGCAUGAUACAGAGACGAGAGCCAAUCAAGACCAGGAGGCCUUGAGAGCUCUCAGAGUGCAGGCAACAGAGUAUACUACCAAGGUCAGUC